AGACAGUUACCAUGCCCUUUCGAAAGGAGUCAGGUUUUAAACCUAAUGGCUCUUUCAUGAUUAUAUGAUAGGUGGUGCAUGGCCGUUCUUAGUUCGUGGAGUGAUCUGUCUGCUUAAUUGCGUUUCAAAUUUUUAUUUGAGGACCAGGUUUUGGUUUGGGUAGUGGUCCUACGAUGACUGUGAACUGUCAUGUCUUCGGAUGUGCGACUAUCGGUCUAGGAUCGCAUCUCAGCCCCUGGGACUCUUUUGAACGCAACGGACGUGAUUGCAACCCCUUGUUGAGAUUAGAGGAGUCUCGAUAUUCAUUGGCCAAACUUACCGCUUCG
rnacentral:rRNA from 1 species